AAGAGAGCUUUCUUAUAAGCUCCAUGCUGAUCGGCUAAGAACCAGAGAACUAACGGGACUGAGGGAACGCUAAAUUUAGACACCUAAGUUCUGUUUCCCAGAGUGUGAUGAGACCACGCCCAUCUGCUUGGGCCUCCUUCUCCACGCCUCAAUCAGCGCAGGCUUAAGUCUUGGCGUUCACAGGGUGACUCACGGCCAUUUUACACGGGUAAGUUUCUAUUUGCAUUGACUUUGCAGCAAGACAUCGGUUUGUUCGAGCUGCUAAUAAAAGCAAGGUAACAACCUGUAAGGAGGACAUUUGGAAUCAAACAACCUUGUAAAGACGCUGCCUUCAUCACCGGGAGCAAACCCUGAUUGAUUGUCCGGUAAUCAGUGUACUGGCUAAAGGGGCUGGACCCUCUCCUCCUGUCCUCAAGACUCCCAACUGCAGCAGAGUGUUCUGCCUGCAUGUGUGUACACGCAACGUAUGUCUGCCUGCGCCAGAAGAGGGUGUUGUGUCCUCUGGAACUGGAGUUACAAACAGCUGUGAGUCGCCAUAUCGGUGCUGGAUCUUCACCUGGAUCCUCUGCAAAAGUGCAGAGGCAGCUCUGAGGCAGCUCCCCAGCCCACCAAGAUGUUUAUAUAUGUAAAGUUCUUUUUGUAUGA
rnacentral:sRNA from 1 species